CGCUAUCACUCCUACGGGGAGGCAGCAGUAGGGAAUCUUCCACAAUGGGCGCAAGCCUGAUGGAGCAACACCGCGUGAGUGAAGAAGGGUUUCGGCUCGUAAAGCUCUGUUGUUAAAGAAGAACACGUAUGAGAGUAACUGUUCAUACGUUGACGGUAUUUAACCAGAAAGUCACGGCUAACUACGUGCCAGCAGCCGCGGUAAUACGUAGGUGGCAAGCGUUAUCCGGAUUUAUUGGGCGUAAAGAGAGUGCAGGCGGUUUCUAAGUCUGAUGUGAAAGCCUUCGGCUUAACCGGAGAAGUGCAUCGGAAACUGGAUAACUUGGGUGCAGAAGAGGGUAGUGGAACUCCAUGUGUAGCGGUGGAAUGCGUAGAUAUAUGGAAGAACACCAGUGGCGAAGGCGGCUACCUGGUCUGCAACUGACGCUGAGACUCGAAAGCAUGGGUAGCGAACAGGAUUAGAUACCCUGGUAG
rnacentral:rRNA from 1 species